rnacentral:rRNA from 1 species
UGCCAGCCGCCGCGGUAAUACGGAGGGUCCAAGCGUUAAUCGGAAUUACUGGGCGUAAAGCGCGCGUAGGCGGUUUGUUAAGUCAGAUGUGAAAGCCCUGGGCUCAACCUGGGAACUGCACCUGAUACUGGCAAACUAGAGUACAGAAGAGGGUGGUAGAAUUUCCUGUGUAGCGGUGAAAUGCGUAGAUAUAGGAAGGAACACCAGUGGCGAAGGCGACUGUCUGGGCUGACAUUGACGCUGAGGUGCGAAAGCGUGGGUAGCAAACAGGAUUAGAUA